rnacentral:snoRNA from 1 species
UCAGGCCCUGAUCGAAGCCGUGUUAGUGGCUGAUGUAACUAACUCGGUCAAACAGCGGCCAAGAGCAUUCUGUUCCCACUGACGGUCGCUGCUUGUGUCUCUCUGUGCGCGGGAUCAGCAACAUUAUGGGGGAGUACAGCU